GAUGAACGCUGGCGGCGUGCCUAAUACAUGCAAGUCAAGCGAACGGACGAGAAGCUUGCUUCUCUGAUGUUAGCGGCGGACGGGUGAGUAACACGUGGAUAACCUACCUAUAAGACUGGGAUAACUUCGGGAAACCGGAGCUAAUACCGGAUAAUAUUUUGAACCGCAUGGUUCAAAAGUGAAAGACGGUCUUGCUGUCACUUAUAGAUGGAUCCGCGCUGCAUUAGCUAGUUGGUAAGGUAACGGCUUACCAAGGCAACGAUGCAUAGCCGACCUGAGAGGGUGAUCGGCCACACUGGAACUGAGACACGGUCCAGACUCCUACGGGAGGCAGCAGUAGGGAAUCUUCCGCAAUGGGCUAAAGCCUGACGGAGCAACGCCGCGUGAGUGAUGAAGGUCUUCGGAUCGUAAAACUCUGUUAUUAGGGAAGAACAUAUGUGUAAGUAACUGUGCACAUCUUGACGGUACCUAAUCAGAAAGCCACGGCUAACUACGUG
rnacentral:rRNA from 1 species